CUCUUCUUUCUUUACUCCUUUCCGCAUCGGGGCUGAUAAUUGGAUAGAAUCUCCUUAAAUAAAGAAAGGGGGCGUAUAAAUUGGGUUUUUGGCUCGCAAUAAAGCUAGGGUCCUGAUCGAGCAACUAGUAGUCCUAUCUAUCCACCUCUCCAGACACAAUAUCUUGAGUACCUAUGAUGGUGACCACAUCUGCUGGCAUGUGAUGUUUGGACAUAGAAUCGAGUCCUUGUGAAUGGGCAAAGCCAGGUGCUCUUCUUGAGUACUUAUGAUGGUGACCACAUCUGCUGGCAUGUGAUGUUUGGACAUGGAAUCGAGUCCUUGUGAAUGGGCAAAGCCAGGUGCUCUUAUUUUACGACGGUAG
rnacentral:lncRNA from 1 species